rnacentral:miRNA from 1 species
UUAGGGGGGAGGGCGAAAAAUGGAAAGGGCGAGAAAGAAAUAGCCAUUUCUUUCUUGCCCCUUCCAUUUUUCGCCCUCCCCCCUAAAUAGCGCCUGC